AUCUUCGUUCCCUGCAGAACCUUGACAGUUGAACAAGUGACCUCCUCCAGAACAGAUGGAGAGUCUCCAGAAGCAGAGGCUUUAGUGAACGAAAUUCGCAAUAAUCAGCUCCAGAUCCUGAAAAGGAGGGCGAAGAAUCACUGGCCAAAGCUAACCGCUUCAUACCCACACUUCAUCCUCCUCAGUUUCUCUCCAGGCCACCAUGUCUGCAGGCAACGGCACCCCUUGGGAUGCCACCUGGAAUAUCACUGUUCAAUGGCUGGCUGUGGACAUCCCAUGUCGGACACUCAUGUUCCUGAAACUAAUGGCCACGUAUUCUGCAGCUUUCCUGCCUGUGGUCAUUGGAUUGGACCGCCAGGCAGCAGUACUCAACCCGCUUGGAUCCCGUUCAGGUGUAAGGAAACUUCUGGGGGCAGCUUGGGGACUUAGUUUCCUGCUUGCCUUGCCCCAGGGAUCUAGAACUAGAAAUACCAUUUGACCCAGCCAUCCCAUUACUGGGUAUAUACCCAAAGGACUAUAAAUCAUGCUGCUAUAAAGACACAUGCACACAUGUUUAUUGCGGCACUAUUCACAAUAGCAAAGACUUGGAACCAACCCAAAUGUCCAAUAAUGAUAGACUGGAUUAAGAAAAUGUGGCACAUAUACACCAUGGAAUACUAUGCAGCCAUAAAAAAAUGAUGAGUUCACGUCCUUUGUAGGGACAUGGAUGAAAUUGGAACUCAUCAUUCUCAGUAAACUAUCGCAAGGACAAAAAACCAAACACCGCAUGUUCUCACUCAUAGAUGGGAAUUGAACAAUGAGAACACAUGGACACAAGAAGGGGAACAUCACACUCUGGGGACUGUUGGGGGGUGGGGGAGGGGGGAGGGAUAGCAUUAGGAGAUAUACCUAAUGCUAAAUGACGAGUUAAUGGGUGCAGCACACCAGCAUGGCACAUGUAUACAUAUGUAACUAACCUGCACAUUGUGCACAUGUGCCCUAAAACUUAAAGUAUAAUAAUAAUAAAAGAGCCUGCCUUUUAAAAACA
rnacentral:sRNA from 1 species